UACGUGAGGACCGAGCGUUGUCCGGAAUCAUUGGGCGUAAAGAGCGUGUAGGCGGCUAUUUAAGUCCUGCGUGAAAUCCUGCGGCUCAACCGCAGACGGUCGUGGGAAACUGGAUGGCUAGAGUGCGGGAGAGGAGAGUGGAAUUCCCGGUGUAGCGGUGAAAUGCGCAGAUAUCGGGAAGAACACCCGUGGCGAAGGCGGCUCUCUGGAACGCAACUGACGCUGAGACGCGAAAGCGUGGGGGAAGCAAACAGG
rnacentral:rRNA from 1 species